rfam:Brachypodium distachyon strain Bd21 chromosome 1, whole genome shotgun sequence.
CAGAUACUCCCUCCAUCCAACAAAAGAUGUCUCGAUUUGAAUGUAUCUAUACACUAAGUCAUGUCUAGAUACAUCCAAAUUUUGAUAAACUUGAGACAUCCUUUAUUGGACGGAGGAAGUACAAA